GCUGCGCUGACUGAGUGGUUAAGGCGUUGGACUUAAUCCAACAGGCCACAGGGUUUCUCCACGCCGGUUCGAAUCCCGUUCGUAGCU
rnacentral:tRNA from 1 species